rnacentral:rRNA from 1 species
UACGUAGGAGGCGAGCGUUAUCCGGAUUUACUGGGCGUAAAGAGGGCGUAGGCGGCCUUUCAAGUCAGAUGUGAAAUCUCCCGGCUUAACUGGGAGGGUGCAUUUGAUACUGAUGGGCUGGAGUGCAGCAGAGGGAAGCGGAAUUCCCGGUGUAGUGGUGAAAUGCGUAGAUAUCGGGAAGAACACUAGUGGCGAAGGCGGCUUCCUGGGCUAUAACUGACGCUAAGGCCCGAAGGCGUGGGUAGCAAACAGG